AGAGACUGGAUACCAGACAAGAAGCAACUUAAGGAAAGAAGGGGUCGUUGUGCCUGACACUUUAAGGGGCCAUCAUGGUGGGAAAAGCAUGCCCACAUGAGGCUGAAGCACUUGGUCACAGUCCGGAAGCCAAGUUUCUGUGAUCUGGAGGAAGAAGAGAGAAGUGAAAGAGCCAUGGGAGCUGAAUAAAAGGGGACCGGCAAAGGGAAGGACCAGAGCAAUCACCCCGGAACCAGCAGCAGCACUAUUCAUUCCAAGACCCUGCCUGGUCACCUGAGGAACUGCCAGGACCUGAAUCUAGUGCCAGGACUCCACUGAAAGAGACCAAGAUGGACUGUGGGCUGAAUUGUAAAUGUAGAGCACUCUCAACCCCAGAACCUAGACCUCUCUCUCUCUCUCUCUCUUUGUCUCGCACAAACACACACUCUAAUGCUGCUAAGUUUCUCACUACUAAUUCAUUCCUGUAAAGCCUGUUCCACACCCCCAGCCCAUCACACCCACUAGCCAGCCAAUCUCUGCCAGGUUGCUGCUCCAUCUCAAGAGCUCUUGCCCUCCAGCUUCAGAGUAGGCAGAGUUUUUGUUUGUUUUGCUGAAUUUUUUUGACUGGGUUCCAGAUGGACGCUUCCGGCCUCCCUGUUUACUAUGAGACACACAGGCUCUCUUGCUUCCCCUCAUUCUUCUUUGGGCACUAGCUUUCCCUAUGCUUGGGUAGUCGUGGAAAUGUCUCCUCCAAACACAUCCUGUCAAACACAAAGACCACAAGCAUCCCAAACUCGAGUUAUUAGGCUUUGUUUCCUACUGCACAUGCCCAGCAACAUUUGCACAAUCUCACAGCAUGCAUCCUGCUAGCUGAAGGGGGGAGGAGAAUAGUCUGUCAUGAAGGUGAAAAAAUGUCUCCGAUUGGAUGCCAAACAUGAUUCAGGUCCAAUUCUUUAAGGUGCCCAAAUGAAUGUUUCAAAAGCUUCUAGGGAGUUGGUAAGUGCUUGCCUUGCAAGCACGAAGACCCAAAUCUGAGCCCUUGAACCCAUGUUUAAAACAGCCAGGUGGACAUGUUGAUACACAUUUGUAAGCCCUGAGCUGGGGAGGUGGAGACAGGAGGAUCUCUGGGGCUUAUUGCCCAGCCAGUCUAGACUACUUGGUGAGUUCUAGACCAGUGAGAGGCCCUGUCUCAAAAAACAAAAA